UACGAAGGGUGCAAGCGUUACUCGGAAUUACUGGGCGUAAAGCGUGCGUAGGUGGUUCGUUAAGUCUGAUGUGAAAGCCCUGGGCUCAACCUGGGAAUGGCAUUGGAAACUGGCGACCUAGAGUGCGGUAGAGGGUAGUGGAAUUCCCGGUGUAGCAGUGAAAUGUGUAGAGAUCGGGAGGAACAUCCGUGGCGAAGGCGACUACCUGGACCAGCACUGACACUGAGGCACGAAAGCGUGGGGAGCAAACAGG
rnacentral:rRNA from 1 species